CAACAUUCCUAAAAAUUUUCCCUCUUAUUUCAUGAUCCUGAUGUAAGAUCUCCCAAGCCUUCUCAUGACAAUCUCAGACUAAAGCACAGAGGAAAUGCUUCACCCCAACUUCUGAGAACGCUUCAUUGAACAUAUGCUCAACCUACCUAGUUUGUGAUAUGCUUGAUACCCGUAUGAAUGAUUUCUACCUGGGAAUGCCACAUCAGUGACAGAAUUAUCAGCAAUUAGGAACAGAAGAAUUCUGGCUCCUUCAGUGUUUACUGAGAAAUUACUCUCAGAUGAGAUUCAGCUCUGAGAGAUACUUCUUGUAUGAGAUUUGCAUUGCCAGGCCUCUGAUGAUCCAGUAAGGGCUAAGAUUUAGGAAAUGAUGAUGCUUGAGGAAGGUUAGGAAAAUCAUGAACUUCACAUCACUUCUGCAGCAAUGUUACCCCAGUGGUCACCUCAAGAUUGCAUGGUGGUAAGGAGUAGCCCAAAGGGAUAGUGUGUACAGGUCAUAGGUGUGAUUUAAAAGCUGUUGGAUACAUCCAGCCACAGAGGAUGGCCUAUUCUGCCUUCUCCUGAGAAGUUUUCACUGAAGACACAGACACUACACCUAACUGGUGGUAUGCUUGACACCUGUAUGACUGAUUUCUACCUGGGAAUGCUACAUCAGUAACAGAAGUAUCAGCAAGCCGCUGCAGAGGAAUCCUGGCUUCUUCAGUGUUUACAGAGAAAUGUCACUCAUGACGAGAUUCAUCUCUGAGAGAUACUUCUGGUGUAAGGAUCCCAAUGAAGUGUCUCACAAACCUGUUCAAUGUAUUCUCAGACUCAGUCACACAGGAACUGCUUCUGAGGAGGUUUCCCUGAAGAUACAGCCAAAACAGCUUCCUGGUGGUAUUAUAAAACUUGUGCUUUUCCCUUUCUUUUAAAUUAAUAAUCGGCAGUAUAUUAAACUCAAUUACAUUGUUUAUGUUCCCUUAUAUUAGCAUGCUUGUUGUCCAUAUAUUUAAAUUUUUAAAUCUUUAUGUUAUGUGUAUAUUUACUAUUUCUUUGGAAGUCACACAUAUUGUUCUUUCCAACUAGACAUAGUUAAUGUUUCUUGCCAUAGAACCACCUACUACUCAUUUCACCAGUAUUUGCCCUGAAUUCAAUAUCCAGAAAAUCUUCCGUGAAGUGAAAUCUACUUAUUACUUUUCGGUUCUAAUAUUUGCAAGUCCUGAAACUUUUAUUAAUCUAGUUAUUUCCUUCUCUUUAUAUUCCUAAUAUUCCAUUUGUAUACAUGAACUGUUUUGUUGAGUCUUUUCUUCCUUUUGGCUUAAACACUUAAAAAAACAUAGCAUUUUUUUACAUGCAUAUGAAAGUUUAUCAUUGUCACCCCAGCUCUCCUAAAUCACUCUACACUUUGUCAUUGACUGUUCUUUCUAGGUCCCUUUGCUAUAUUCUUUCUUUUUAGUUAAACAUAUGAAGAAUUAAUACAAGACUUGUUCAUUGACCUCACUUCCAUAUCACUGUGUCUGAUACUUUUACUGUGCACUUAUCAUUCCCCUCUCAAAUGCAUUACCUCCUGACUAAUUGUUAUUGUUAUGUAUACACACACAACUAUACAGGUUUACUUUUAUAUAAACAU